UGUGGCCUACGGGAGGCAGCAGUGGGGAAUAUUGCACAAUGGGGGAAACCCUGAUGCAGCGACGCCGCGUGGGUGAAGAAGCGCCUCGGCGCGUAAAGCCCUGUCAGCAGGGAAGAAAAUGACGGUACCUGAAGAAGAAGCCCCGGCUAACUACGUGCCAGCAGCCGCGGUAAUACGUAGGGGGCAAGCGUUAUCCGGAUUUACUGGGUGUAAAGGGGGCGCAGACGGCGAUGCAAGCCAGGAGUGAAAGCCCGGGGCCCAACCCCGGGACUGCUCUUGGACCUGCGUGGCUGGAGUGC
rnacentral:rRNA from 1 species